rnacentral:tRNA from 1 species
GCUGUGAUGGGUGAGAGGUUAAGGCGCUGGACCGGAAAUCCAAUGGGGGUUUCACAAGAGGUUCGAACUCCUGCUCGCAGCG